rnacentral:rRNA from 1 species
UACAGAGGGUGCAAGCGUUAAUCGGAAUUACUGGGCGUAAAGCGUGCGUAGACGGUUAUGUAAGUCAGAUGUGAAAGCCCCGGGCUCAACCUGGGAAUUGCAUUUGAUACUGUGCGACUAGAGUGCGGAAGGGGCAACUGGAAUUCUCGGUGUAGCGGUGAAAUGCGUAGAUAUCAAGAGGAACACCUGAGGCGAAGGCGGGUUGCUAGGCUGACACUGACGCUGAGUGCGCGAAAGCCAGGGGAGCAAACGGG